ensembl:lncRNA
GUGAACUCAAUCUUUAGUUACCACUUUAAAAAAGAGUAGCUCUGAAAUCACACAUUCAAAGAAUCUGAGGUAUUUUUCAUGGGCUAAAAAGUAACAAGAGUAUUUAUGAUCUGUCAACUUUGAGAUAGUAUUCAAGUCAGUUGGGCAGUUUAACUUAUUUUCCCUCCUUAAUUCUUCCAACUGUCUUCUUUCAUCUAUUUCUCCCUUCAUUCUGCCUCCCUAAGUGAACUUGCUCAGCUUUGCCAGGUUUUGCGACCCUGACAGGUGUCUGGGAGCGCUUCCCUCCCAGGCUGCUGGGUUGGAGGGCGGCCUCAGCAGGAACCCAGGAGGACAGCUGGUAUCCGAGACUCCCCGGCGGGGCCGGCCCUGCCACCAGCCUCAUCUGCAGAAGGCAGGCCUCUGGAGCUUGCUCUUGGGCAUCAGCUGUCUCCGACAACCUCUCCAGGAGCUUGCAGGAUGUCGGAGACCCCAAGGCUUGACUUCGCUCGUGUCCAAGCCCACCUCUGGGGGUGCCCCGGUCCCACUCUCCCCUGAUUUCCUGAUGAAGAAACUAAAGACCAAAGAAUUGGAGCAGUUUGCUAGAGAUCCCACAGCUGGUUUACAGCACAAACAUCAUGCUAUUUUCCUUUCUACAGAUGUUCCACAUUUCUGGAUUUUAAGGACCAGAAAAUUUUUUUAAAAAUGGGAAGGGGGGGAGGAAGAAUAUAACAUAGCAUUGCCAACUUUUGGUUUUAACAAGUAAAGACAUUAAGAAGCCAUAACCACUAUCUGAUGUCAGCACUUCUCAUAAAAGAAAGGACAUUUAUGUGUAUUUUAACGUCCUUUGAGUAGCCUGAUUUUAGUUCUGUGCACUACUCUAUAUUCCCCUGCCUUCCGUUAUUUGAAGGCAGGCUGGGAUAAACUUUGCCAAAGAUCACUCUUUGUCCUCAAGCUGAUAUUUGACCACUCCUGAGCUUUUAUUUCAGUAAGAAGGUGCAGCAUAACAUUCCCAUCGUCUCUUCUUUGAGGGUGGGAGUGAGCCCUGCUUUCUGAUGAUUUGAACAGCAGGUGUAAAUUCUACUGCUUGUAAGCUGAGCUCCCAGGAUGGGCUGUAGCCAGUGCUCUGAGAGCCACAGGAAGUGGCAUUGUCUACCCAGCCUGUGUUCCUGGCUACCUGCUGGGGCCAUGAGAGUGACUGAUAAGAAUCUGUGGGAUGGCUUUCCAUUCCAUUUUCACUUGGAUUCCAAACAUGUAUGAUGGAGCAAAGGGUUUAUGCAAACAUUAAAUGUCUCCACUAAUUGUCUAACCUUCCAUGUUUAGGGCUCUGCAAGAAAUCCAGGCUCUAGUUUCAUGUGAGCUGAACUCAGCUGACCACAACUAGAUGAAGAUAAGUAAGUGACUUUGCCUGGAUUCCUCCAUGAUCCACAGCGAUGAUCUUUGGCCUUCCACAAUAAUGAAAUUAUAAACAUAUUAGAUCAGAAUGGGUGAAUGUGAUGGUAUCGUGUGUCUGCUAUUAUAGGUCAGAAUGUGAGAAAAUGCCUCCUCCAAGCUGUUCCAUUUACUCCCAAGACUCAGCAGAAAUGGGACCCACUAGGUUAAGAUGUCUAGCACACAAUUAGGAUGACCAAGAGGCUUGGUCACUUCAGGUGACUUGUUGACCGCUGGGUGAUGAAAAGUUUUGUGCCUCCUCUACCCUAACUUCCCAUCUCUGGAUUGGCUUUGGAAGCCCUGGGGCCGGUCUGGUCUUUCUGGGGCUGCAGAGUCUGCUGUGCCUUGGAGUGAUAAUGAGAGUUCUAUCAGAGUUGAGGGCGCAGUUAGACCAAGCUAGUAAGUAUUUCCUGAGCACCUACUGUCUGCAAGGCUGUAUGUAAGUGCCUGACACUUAUCAUCCUGUUGCAGGUAAUGGCACAGGAAAAAGUGCUGAGGAAUUUGGAGUCCUUGGAAAUUUGAGUCUUGGGAAAGGGUCAAAUUGUCAACAUAAGAGUAUUGAUUUAUUUAGGACAUACUUUAGUUGGGCCACACUUUCCAUUGUGAUCUUGUUGAACAGCCUUUCGAGGGAAGUGCUAC